GUGAUUGCUUCGGCAGCACGUAUACUAAAAUUGGAAUGAUACAGAGAUUAGCAUGGACCCUGUGCAAAGAUGACACACAAAUUCGUGAAGCGCUCCAUUUUUAU
ensembl:snRNA U6 U6 spliceosomal RNA